UUCCCCCCCUUUUCAUUUCCUUUCAGGUUUGCAGAGCCCUAAGUUUCGAAACAACACACACACACUCUCUCUCUCUCUCUCUCUCUCUCUCUCUCUCACUCACGGAGGCGAGCGACGAGCGGCGAAUUUUGGUUUGGACGAGCGACCAGCAGGACCAUGAUUCUCGACAAGGGUCAGCUUCUUGAGACCGAGCAAAUGCUCCGCGACACCGGUGAACAGUGGCCUGUUAUUAUCCCUGAGGAGGAGAUCCGCCAAGCAGCCCCUGGUACUAAGCUGGGUUUGAACUUUGAAGUCUUUAUGAGGACUAUACCUUUGUCAAUUUCUAUUGAAGGCAACCACUACAUGGUAUGUAUAUUGUUUAUGUUACUCUUUGAUCUAGCUUUACAAUUUCAAGUCACCAAAUAGUCUUUGAACUGUUUGUUAAAAUGUCUGACCCAGAAAUGUUUAUUUUGAAAUGAUAAAGAAUUAAGAUGAGAAGGAAUGGCUAGGCUACCAAUGAGAAUUUUAUUUAUUAUUUUGUGGUUGAAAUUGGGAAUUUUUUUUUUCUCUGAUGUUCAAAAUUCAGAAAUAUGAAAUGGUCAAAUAGCGUUCGACUACUAUUAUUCAAAAACUUGAAAUUGUUGGGAUGUUUAAACCUUGAAAGCGUAGUGAAUUUUUUAACCCCAAUAUGAACACUUGUGCAUGUCAAGCUUUUGGAAUGACUUAGAUGCCUUUGUUUUCACCUUUUCAACAGUGCUGCCAAUAUUUAUUGGUCCUCCUAAUUGCCCAAAGAGCAUCCUUUAAUAUUGCAUCAUAGCCCUUUAAGUUAUGCUGCCCAAAUUUCCUAAUGGAUAGUAGUGUAGUCGCUACUUCCAAGUUCCAAUCUACUUAAGUUAUGCCUCCAUUCAUUUAGGAGAGUAAAAUAUGAAUGUAGUGAUAUCAAGGUUCAAAAAAUAUAGGGACUUUGCUGAUGUUGAUUAUUGCAGGACAGCGGUAGUUAACUUUAGUAGUGAUAUUAGCAUUCUAGAAGUGGUGAAAUUUAGUAGUUAAUAGAAUGGCAUACACAAUGACUUUAAUACAUACAAAAGCAGAAAGCAUGUGUUGAAGUUUGAAAUAUUGAUGAUGACAUAUGUAUGAUACCUAUAUUUUGAUAUCGACACGUAAUCAAUUCAAUGAUUUGUCAAGAGUUUUAAUCUAGAGAGUUCAAACAUUUGGAAUUAGCUUUGAGAAGAUGAAAUUAAUGUAGUCCUAAUAUGUGGUUUUUCAAUAUAUGUUUCCUUGUUGCAACUCAUUGCUGUGAUGGAAAUAUGAAUAGGUUGAGCUUUGUUAUAGCAUUAUUCAAUUCAAGUUUUAUUUGGUUGUGUUCUUUGUGCAUGUUAGCAAAAGAAAAUUUUACCAUAAUAUUGUUAUUUGCCUCAAUCUGCAAUAUUUUGUUUGAAAACCUGUAUAGUCAUUUAAUUGGCCUAUAUGCAUAUGUGAAUGUGAAUCUGUUGGAGAUUUUUUCUGAUGUCCGAACUCAUCGAAUGAAUUCAAGCACUCAUACGAUCAUUGAUAUUGAGGCUUCAGUUGUUUGAUCUUCAUGAGUCAAAGAUCCAAAAAAUGAUAAUAAUAAUAAAUAAAAUUAAAAAAAAAUCUUGAUGACAUUUUUUUAAAUGACAUAUGCUACGUGGAGCUGUGUACAUGGACUUGGGCAGGUAAGUGCAGGUACCAUUACUUGUGCGCAAUUUAGUGUUUAUGGUUUUGUUGUAAACAUGGUAGACUGGCUUUUUAAGGUUCGAGAAAAGAACAAUGGUGUACUAUUUUUUUUUUCUUUUUUCCUUCUUCAUGCUUUUUCCUCCCUGUUUUGUGUGUGUAUGUGUGUGGUUGUUAGAGACCGAUGAAAACCUAAAAAGCAUGGACACUAUGGAGGAGGUGUGCCAUGUCGGACAAGACACUCUACGAGUACUCCCAAGAGCGUGUUCGACGCUUCUUCAACCUGUCUUAAUUGAAAUUUAAAUUCAUAAUAUCGAACACUUCAUAAACACUUCUUGAACCCUCCAAACUCAACUUAUGUGAUGAAUCUCUUCAUAGUAACAAUCUGCAUUAAGUAUGUUCUGAAACAUUUAUUAGAUAAAUACAUUAUGUGUAAUUUAAUGUUCUACAAUUGUUUUGCAUUCUUUAAAAGCAAUUGUUAUGUGAAUGAUAUCUUAAUGUUAAGUUAUGGUAUAUAUGCCUUUUUAAUUUUAGUUAUUGUUAUGUUUCUCUUUUUUUUUUCAGUACGUUUGAAUAAACUAUGCAUAUGUUGAACAUAUAAUAAAUUUAUAAAAAUAUAAAAUUUUAAUGUGUCUCAAGCUUAUUGUCCUCAUUUUUUAAAAAUUGUCGUGUCGCUGUUUCGUGUCACGUGUUUGUGCUAUUUAGAAGUUAGAUGAAAACCAAUCUAUUCAUGGCUUCACUAGUUGAGGGAUGUUAUGAUAUGAUUCUAUAACUGGGGGAGACACUCUCAAGUUGAUUUAGGCUAUCUCACAUUUAGAUUGAAAACCUCAAGGAGAAAGAGUGGAUAGAGCAAGGUGGAGACAUAUUUCAUUUGGCUAGUUGCCAAUAAGGUGAGCUAUACCCAUUGAGGGAGAUAAAUCUUUGUCAAAUUGCCUACGUGCCUGCAACUACUUUCAUUCUGCAUGAUAGUUAUUGAAUACUAGUUUCAAUAGAAGAGACCUAUCUUGACCCCAUAGAUCCCAUAAACUCA